AAAUCGUGAACUGAGGCCUCAGUGUAAUAGCCCAUGAGGAACUGAAUUAUUUCAACAGCCAGAUGUAGUAAACACUCACUGAGAAAAUGAGGUUGAUUCUGGAAGAUGGAAGUAUAAGAUCAGAUAGCCAGCAUCAUCAGGUACUCAUGAGGGCCGUCUUCCAGCUUGCAGACUGCCAACUUCUCAUUGUGUCCUCAGCUUAGUACAGGAACAACAGACAGCCAGACAAUUUUGCCAUUCACUGGGACACACGAGAUGGAACCCAAUAGAAGUCAAGAGAAAACUAAAUUCAAAUAUUUACAGAGGCAAUAGAAAGGCCUAGGAUUGAGACACAAUAGCAAUGAACAGAAGAACUAACAGUUCAAAACUUAGGGCUAAGCACAGUGGCUCAUGACCGUAAUCU
rnacentral:antisense_RNA from 1 species